CCUACGGGGGGCUGCAGUGGGGAAUAUUGGACAAUGGGGGGAACCCUGAUCCAGCCAUGCCGCGUGUGUGAAGAAGGCCCUCGGGUUGUAAAGCACUUUCAGUGAGGAAGAACGCCUGGUGGUUAAUACCCAUCAGGAAAGACAUCACUCACAGAAGAAGCACCGGCUAACUCCGUGCCAGCAGCCGCGGUAAUACGGAGGGUGCGAGCGUUAAUCGGAAUUACUGGGCGUAAAGCGCGCGUAGGUGGCUUGAUAAGCCGGUUGUGAAAGCCCCGGGCUCAACCUGGGAACGGCAUCCGGAACUGUCAAGCUAGAGUGCAGGAGAGGAAGGUAGAAUUCCCGGUGUAGCGGUGAAAUGCGUAGAGAUCGGGAGGAAUACCAGUGGCGAUGGCGGCCUUCUGGACUGACACUGACACUGAGGUGCGAAAGCGUGGGUAGCAAACAGGAUUAGAUACCCUGGUAGUC
rnacentral:rRNA from 1 species